rnacentral:rRNA from 1 species
UACGUAGGGUGCAAGCGUUAAUCGGAAUUACUGGGCGUAAAGCGUGCGCAGGCGGUGAUGUAAGACAGGUGUGAAAUCCCCGGGCUCAACCUGGGAACUGCAUUUGUGACUGUAGAGCUGGAGUGCGGCAGAGGGGGAUGGAAUUCCGCGUGUAGCAGUGAAAUGCGUAGAUAUGCGGAGGAACACCGAUGGCGAAGGCAAUCCCCUGGGCCUGCACUGACGCUCAUGCACGAAAGCGUGGGGAGCAAACAGG